rnacentral:rRNA from 1 species
GCUGGAAUGAAUGGUUUGACGAAAAUUAAACUGUCUCUGUUUUAUUUAUUAGAAAUUAAUUUUUAUAGUGAAAAAGACUUGAAUGAUUUAAAGGGACGAGAAGACCCUAAUGA